GUGGGUCAGCCACGUCGCCGCGCCCGGGCUUCCCCGCGGGCCCGCCGGUCCGGAAGGUCGGCCCGGGGCUCUUUUCUCCGCUGUUCUCCUUCUCUGGCGCCCCCAGGACACGCGGCCAGUGGACGCCCGGAACGGCCGACCGGGAGUCGCGGCUGGGGAUGGAAGCUGGAAUUGGGGGUGCGGGAUGGAGCGGAGAGAGGAGGCCCCGCGCGCCGUCGGCCGCCUCAUUUCAGACUCCCCUGCGACCCCCCCCCCGCCGCCAGCCGAAGCCCGGGCCGCCCAGCCCCUCCUGCCGCUGCGGGACGCCGAAGGUAGCGCUCACAUCCGCGCCUUCCGGGCCUGGCGCCCACGUGCGGAGUCCCCGGGUUAGGAAAGGCCGCGCAUCCGGAGGCCACGCAGAGCCUCGGGGCUUGCGCAGAGGGGCUGCGGCUCCAGAGCUUGAGAGAAAGUGCGAACCCGGUCCCUGAGCAGGUCUGAUUCCCAUGGCCCCUUCGCCAUCUGCUCUGCACCGAAAUUGGAUUCUCCUACGCAGAGGAGAAGGUGGAGAAGAUUCUCCGUCUUCCGGAGGGUAGCUACUGCCGGUAGCUCCGAUUUCCUUCGGAUCCCCUUUCAAGGGCAAGCAGAAGGAAAUCAGUUUCUCCAAAGAAAGUGGCCCGGCUGACAGGAGAUGGAGCGAGCGAAGGAGUGAAGCCCUUGUUUGUGAACAGUGAUUGUUUCCCGGAUGACAGCCAGAUGCCGGGCAGGGCCACGCAGAUCUUAGCUGGAGCCUACAGGUACAAGUGAGAGCCACCCCCUUUGACGUAACUGGACUGGCAUUUACAGAACUCAUGUACAGCCCACUCUCAGGAACACCAGCCAGGAACCGUGACAUGGAGGAGAGGAAUUGGGAGGAACCGAGGGGUCAUCAAAGGCUGGUAGGGCUUAGGUGCUCUAGCAAACAUCCUAGUCUGUGGGGUUCCAGAGCUCUGGUGCUACAGCUCCCAACCCUUUGAUUGGCCCAGGAACUGGCUGUUGAGUGGGCAUCCGUGUUCAUAGCUCUGCCCCUUGCAACCCUAAAGCAGAUAAAAUGCAGGAGGCAGAAAUUGCUGGCAGACAGCAUCCAAUUAAUCCCCACUACCCAAUUCAGUUUCUUCCCCUGACCUGACACGUCCCUGCCCAGCUGUGCCUCCCACUGUUCACCUUUUGAGGCACAAAACGGGCUGUUUAUGCUGCUGCUGCAUUUAGCUCAAAACAGGGCUUCAGAGUCAAGGUUCUGGACUCAGGCACCCGGAUUAAAUCCUGCCCUAUGAAUUCCUAGCCAGGUGACCUCAGGCCUACAUAACCUUUCUGUACCUCAACUUCCUCAUCCAGAAAACAGGGAUGAUGCUGUCUACCUCAUUGGAUGGUUGUGCAGGAUCAAAGAUUCAGUCAUUCAGCAAACCUAUACCGAGUACCUACUGUACACUCAUGAGUGCUAGGCAGCCAGCCUUCCAGGUGCUCAGGUACAUCUGUGAACACAACUGGCUAUUGGAGGAAGCAAAAUCAGUAACAUGACCUGCUCUCUUUGAUCUGUGCUACAGAAAAAAAGGAAAGUGGAGAGGCAUCAGGAAGUCAGGAGUGCUGGGGAGGGGCUGGUAACAGUCAUGGUAUUAAAGAGGAGGGCAGGCAGGCCUUACUGUGAAGGUGGUAUUUGAGAUGAAGUAGUUGGUCAGAGUCCCUGUUUGACACAUGGAGACCACCUUGACAGCAAAGGCCCUAAGGGGGAGCGGUGCGAAGCAAGGUGGGCUGGUGAGUGAGAGGAGAGGGAUGGCAUAGAGCUGGGUGGGGGCACAGGAGCCCGUGGGGAAGGUGUUCGCCUCUGAAUGAAGUGGGGUUGUAUCAGAUACCACGGGUGAAGCAUCGGGAAGAGGAUCCUGCCUGUAAACCCUGCUCAAGGACUGCACCAUCAUCAUGCCCAGUGUGUGCGUGUAUUAGGUUUGUAUGAAUAUAAUGUUGCCAAUUGUAUCUGUUUUUAUGAAAUGUUUGCUAUGUGCCAAUGAUUAUUCGAUCCAUGGGGAGACCAUAGAAGAAUGAUCCAAGGAGUUGGGAGGGGAAUCAAAUAAUAAAUCAGCGAUUCUGCAAUAUAA
rnacentral:lncRNA from 1 species